ACAGAAACCAUCUUCCUGUCAGCUACAAGAUUUCCCCACCGAUAUCCUCUUCUGUGCCAGGAUCCAAUUCAGGGUACCACACUGCAUGGAAUUUCCCCGUCUCCUUCACCUCCUCUGGUCUAUGACAGAUUCUCAGCUUCCUUGUUGUUCAGGACUUUGCCAGCUCUGAGGGUCUGCAAAUCAGCUUCAGCAAAGCUGCACUAGGCUGUGCUCCGUUGAGUUCUAGAUGUCUUCGCACUCCAGGACUAGCCUGAAGAGCAGCUACUCCUUGAGAAUGAUCCUCACACAUCCAAGCCCAAAGCUAGUGAGAAAGUCACCUAAAAUCAACCAC